rnacentral:lncRNA from 1 species
GCAUGCUCACGAUGAAGAUAUACCAUGGGGUAUACAGUUAGCAGCCGUGUAUGCUCUUUGUGACUUGAGUCCCAGCAAUCCAGCAGAAAUUUCCAAGAUCCUGGAAGCUUGGCGGAGAGAGGCCUCCAAAAGCGUUCCGUCUGCGAUUGUCAGCUGCCUAGAGGAAGUCAGUGCCCUGAGCACAGAGGAGCUUGGCUGACCUGGGAUGCCACUGAGGCUUGAGAAGUGCCUUGACACAUUUUGAACACAAAUAGUUUGAUCAGCUUUCAGAAUACAAAGGGAGGUUUCAAAACAAAAAGACAUAAAAUAGAUAAAACAGACCAGAGGCUCUCCUUAUUGUUUGGCAAGGAGACAGGAGAAACAAGCAGUCGCAUAGUCGUUUUUCCCUAAAUCUAAUACGUUUCACUUAAGGCUGUUGUGAUCUGUGACAUAUGGGUUAUAUUAUUGUGUCUUUGUCAAACAACAAAAACUUGAACUUAGCCCUUUUUUUGCUGCAGAAAGUGUCCUUUUAGUGGCUUCUUAAAAUUGAGUGGCAUUUUAUAAUGAACUUACCAAUAUAAAAACAUGAUUUGGUUCCUGAGCUGUUGUUGUUGGACUUGUGUUCCAAUGAGUGACUAGGAAAAAAUAAAUUGGCAAAAACCUAGAGUUUUCUGCUAUCUUUGCUGGAAAUGAGUUGCAAAAGUUUUUCUCAAGAUGUAGUGCGUAAUUGAUCAGAGCAAAACAUGCAGAGCCCUUAGCAGAAACCCACUUUAAUGCAUUUUCUUCAUAUCCCUAAAGUUCCUUAAAAAUAUGUGACAAUGCAUCAGGAAGAGGAGAACUGAAGAGUAGAAGUUCCCUUGCAGAUUUUUUUAUCAGUGACAUGUAAUGAGCAAUUCACAGAUGAGCGCAGGCAGAGCUCUGUGUGCCGUGUACAUAUGGACCGUGCUAUGAUGUGUCUCACAUUGGAUGAUAUUCCACUUUGGGAAUUUUAGUAUUUGUAUAUAGAAAAUGGGUUUAAUAACUCACCAUGGUUUUGAUUUGUCUUAUAUUCGUUAUUUCUUAAAACUCUUGUAUGUGUUUUUAU